UACGAAGGGUGCAAGCGUUACUCGGAAUCACUGGGCGUAAAGCGUGCGUAGGCGGUUCGUUAAGUCUGCUGUGAAAGCCCUGGGCUCAACCUGGGAACUGCAGUGGAUACUGGCGGACUAGAGUGUGAUAGAGGAUGGUGGAAUUCCCGGUGUAGCGGUGAAAUGCGUAGAGAUCGGGAGGAACACCAGUGGCGAAGGCGGCCAUCUGGAUCAACACUGACGCUGAGGCACGAAAGCGUGGGGAGCAAACAGG
rnacentral:rRNA from 2 species